CUUGAACUGCACUGUGUUUGAUCUCCCGCACGUGGUUGCUGGCUUGGAAGGGAGCAAGAACUUGAACUACCUUGGAGGCGACAUGUUUAAAGGAAUUCCUCCUGCAGAUGCAAUUUUACUCAAGGUAUAUUAACUUGUUUGACCAUUUUUCUGAACUUUGUUUGAGAAAGAGGGAAAAGUAAGAACAAAAAUAUUAAGACAAAAUUUAUAAGUGAAUUUUGCAUCAGCCAUAUUGAGUUAUCACCUUAAUUCUUCUUCCCAUUGUUUGAUUAAAAAGAGAUCAAAUAACCCCAAUUUGUAAAUCUAAUUCCCCAUAUUUCUUCAUGAAAAAUAGUCACUUUUGACAAAAAUUCCAUCAAUUUUUUUCUUGUAAAAAUAAGGUUAUAUUUGGAAGGUGUGUUUUCCAAAAUAAUUUUUAAAAAUUAUUUUCUAAUAUUUCGUAAAAUAAAAGUUCGUUUGAAAAUUUAAAAUAUUUUUAACUUAUGUUUUAUAUUUUUAAAUAUAUUUUAAAAGUAACUUGUAUAUAUAGUGUAUUUUUAAUCAUUUUAAUGUUUAUAUUUUUUUUAAAAAGAAAAUAAGUAAAAAUGACUAAAAAAUUAUUUUCUAAAAAGACCAUAUUUUCUGUUUUUAACAACAUAAAAAUAUUUUCUAUUUUCUAGUUAUUAAAUAGUUUCUUAGGAAUAAAAAUGUUUUAAAAAAUAAUUAGCAUGACCUAAAUUCUAUGUUAAAGCUUAUAAGCAAAUAACUGAAAUAUUGAAGGAAAUUUAUAUAUAUAUAUAUAUAUAUAUAUAUAUAUAUAUAUAUAUAUAUAUACACAUAAAAAAAUAAAAAUAAAAACACAGGAGAGGUUAGAGUAACAAAUUUGGUAUCAUUUCGUAUUAACCCUGAGAAAGAAAUAUAAAAGCAAUUAUAGUUGUAAACCUAUGUUUGGAACGAGCAUGUGGAAGUCGUACAUUUGAUAAUUUAUUGCUGAAAGACGUCAUGGAUGAAGUCAUGGUUUUGAUCCUUAAGAAUCUUCAUGCCAAAUGUAUAGGCAAUAUUGUCAUACAGUUUUAAGGAAAUUAAAGCUUCUAACCCUUUCUUAUCAUGACCCAAAUAACAAGCAGUGGAUAUUACAUGACUGGAACGAUGAAGAAUGUGUCAAGAUACUACAGCAAUGCAGACAGGCGAUUCCAAGCAAGGAGAAGGGAGGCAAGGUGAUAAUAAUAGACAUGAUGAUGGAGAACCAGAAAGGAGAUGAUGAGUCCAUGGAAACACAGCUCUUUUUUGAUAUGCUGAUGAUGAUUUUAGUCACGGGUCAAGAGAGGAACGAAAAAGAAUGGGAGAAGCUGUUCUUGGAUGCUGGUUUCAGUGGCUAUAAGAUAACCCCCAUACUGGGUUUAAGGUCUCUUAUUGAAGUUUAUCCUUGAUCAAUAUCUAGUGGUACUAGUAUUUGCAAGUAUGUUUGCACUAAAUCUAAAUAAAGUGCUCUGGCAAGAAUGUUGGAGAUCAGGACCCUAUCAAGUUUGUGUUCGCAUGCAGGCAUAUUAAUAAUCUUUCUGGGAGUAUGAAGAAUCUCUGUUAAAUAACUUGAUAUUUAACUUGUCUGAUAAUGAAGUAGUGUUUGCUGUAAUAUUGUUUUGCUUUGUGUCGAAUGUUGGGGGAACUUUAAUGAACUUGAAUUUCAGUUGUAGAAAUUUAUCAAAUUAAUAAUUCGUUUAAUAGCGAUUUUAGAAAGUGUUUUUAGUUAAAAAAAUUCUUGUUUCAUAAAAUGUAAGAAACAUUUUUAAAAAUUUUAAAAAUCAUUUCUACUAUUUUUUGAAAAAACACUUGAUAUGAAAUUAUUUGAAAACCAUUUUUAGAUAAACACUUCUACAAAAAACAUCUUGUAUAAAAAUAUUGAUAAAAACACUCUAAGAGUGCAAUUAAAAGUAUUUUUAUUAAAAAUAUUUUUAGUGAAAGUGUUUUAUAUGAAAAUGUUUUUAGAAUAAUCAUAUCUCAAGUGUUUCUCCAAAAAACACUACAAUGAAUUUUACUAACACAUUUUUCAUAUUUUUAAAAAUGUUUUUUAAAUUUUAUCAUACAUCUAAUUUUUUUUCAAAAGCACUUUUUAAAUUAAAAACAUUUGCUUGUUAAUUGAAAAUGAUUCAUUUUGUUUUUUUUCUUAAGAUCCAACCAAACCCACUAUUUGCAUUGGAAAUCGGCAACCAAAAAAAUCUUCUAUCUUCAUAACUAUGGUUUUCCCUGAAAAUAUUAAAAAAAAAUCAUUUUCUUAUAUCAUAAAUAAUAUGAAAAAAUAUCACAUAUACUUAAAACUAGUUAAAAACCUAUAUAUUUUACUUUUACUUUUUCUCUUUACUUUCUCUCUUUCUUAUUUUCCUUCUAAACAUAGUCCCCUCUAUACCUUUGACUAAAGCAACCAUCAACAUAUUAAAAAAAAAAAAAAAGAAUCCUGUUUAGACAUUCUUAUUUUCUCCUUUCUGGUUCUUGAUGAUCACAAUAUCUCAAUCCUCCUUGCUCUGAAUUGCCUCUUUUCAUGGCUUUAGUAUCUUCAUGCCUCCUUGGUCAGUAGCUCCUAGAAGUACUGGUUUGCUGUGAUCCGAUCCACCUAGAUUGCUUUCAGCCCUCAAUGUUCAACGACAAGAUCACAACAUCUUCGGGUCCCUACAGGCACCAAAUAUAUAGCUCUCAGGACAAACUACCAUUUAACUCUGAAACAUAACAUAUAUAUAUAACUUGACACUUGAUUGCCCCUCUAACAGCCAUAGUUGGAAGUUUCUCAUUACAUCUUAUGUCACAUCUAUUAUUUUAUCAAAAAUAUCUAAUUAAAAUGAGGAUUAAGUUUGACUGUUAACAGUGGCAAUCACAUGAAAUGUAAUUUAAACCUCUAACCACAAUUAAUUAAGGUCAUUCGUUAAUUAAAGCCUAUUAGAUUUACCUUAUAAGGUAAAUAUAGUCAAAGUUCAAUUAUGACAAAAUAAGCAUAUACUGAAAAAGACAGAUUCUCAACUUUAGUCUAACAUAGCCAGGCUUAUCACUAAAUAUUACAUCACCUUAGGAGGCCAUACUACAUAAUAGGCAAAGUACUGAAAUGGGCCAAAGAGUGGCCGGAGACCCAAGACUAACAAUUCUUAUUUUUAUGCCACAUAGUUAAGGCCCUGUUUGUUUAGUUUAUUUUCUAUUUUUUUUAAAUAUUAAAAAAUAUAUUUAUAUAUUUAGGCUAUGUUUGAGAAUUAUUUUUGAAAACAAUUUUUUAAAAUAAGUUUUGAAAAUUAUUCUUUGAUUUGUUUUUAACCUAUUUUCUAUAUUUUUUGAAAAUAAUUUUUUUAUCUCUAUUUUUAAUCACUCUCCAUAUUUAUAUAAUUAUUUUUAUUUUCCUUCAUUUUUUCUUUUCUUCUAUUUCAUUUUUUUCCCUCCUAUUUUACCUUCAAUAUUUUGGGACCAAACAUAACCUUAGUCUUUAAUUCCUUCACUCUCCACACCAAGGUUGCCAUCCUAGCUCUAAAAUUCAAGCCUAUUAGAUAAGUUAAAGCUACCACUAGAUUUAACUAUUAUUAUGCUUUUUCCUCUUGGCACUUCCUUAGCGACAAGAUCGUACAAUCAUAAGACACUUUACUUAUAAAGUCUUCACCACACAUGGUUGCAAGAGUUGCUUCAUCCAAGAAGUCAUUCCUUUGUAGAAAUAUGACACUAUCAUCUAGUUAUUAGAGCCAUGACACUAGCAUCUAAUUAUUAGAGCCAUGAUACCGAAAGGAUUCAAUAACCUCCUUGUAUCUCUCCUAGUAUGGCAAGAAUUUCUCAUUCUCAUGAGCCAUGAAGUUUGAAAUCUCUCUUUAAAACAUUUGUGUUAUAAGGCGGAAAAAAACUUAUGUAAAAACACUAACGAAGUUAGCAUAUUAGCAUAUUCAAGCUCCUUAAUACUUCUCGGUCUCAAAGUGUUCAACCAGGUUUUGGCUUGUCCUUCAAAGUCAAAACAAACAACAAACAACUUCAUUCUUAGAAUUUCUAUUAGAACAUUCACCUCUUGAAAAGUGAAACAAAUAUUCUCAACAUCGUUGAUGUGUAUAUGGCUUCUUAUUCCCAUUUUCUCUAAAAAUUGUUGACACUAGCUAGGGGCUUAUAAUGGCAUGUCCUUGUAGAGUGACAAAAUAUGAAGGCCUGCUUACUCUUAGUGGAUUAAUAUGAAAUAUCAUUUAUUUGUAUGCAUUGAACAACAUGAUGUUAGGAUUAUUUUGACUAUGCCGAUCUUCUUAGUUCUCGAUUGGUACUUGGUUUGGAUGCUUAGGAUUUUAGAGUUUGUAUAAUCUAUUUACAUGAUCUCUUAUCUAGCCAAGCAUAAAAUAUCAUAACACAAACUUGCAACAAAUUCCAUAUAUCAAAACUAAAAAAAAAAAAAAAAACUAAAUGAAUAUAAAACAAAAAUACUAAAGAAAAAGAAUAACUAACUUUGCUAAAAUCAACUAAUGUACUCAAAAUAAAUCAAUUACUUUGUCUAAAACAACUCAAAAAGCAUCAAUAACUGGCAAGGACACCAUUUGCUUGACCAAUCUAUCUUAGAUUUAGAUAAAAAUAUGAUUUGCAAUUAGGCAUAAUAGCAUCAAUUAAGGAAAGUAGGCUCUCAUGGAUUACAAUAUGUCAAUUAUUGUUCUCGAGACUAACAUUCUUAGUAUCUUGUUAUUUAAGAUGAAGUAAUUAAUGGACUAAAAAUUUCUAUAAAUACUCAUAUUAAUUAGCCAAAAAUUGAGAUCAUUGUGAAUUAUUAGACAAAUAAAUUUAUGAAUGAAACAAAAAAUCAAUGGAAAAGUAGUUAGAGAAUUUCACAAAUUAGAUAGACUUUGAAUUUAUUGAGAGAAAAUAAGUAAAAAUCUUAGUUUUGGAGAUCCAAAGUCAAUCCAAGAAUAAAUCAAAUAUGAAAAAUGAUUUAAAUCUUAAACUUAGAUUUGAAAAUGUAGACUAGAUCUCCAAAUUAAUUUCUAUUAGAUUAAAUUCAUUACUUUGUUUCUCAUAUUAGCUUUUUAACUAUAGACUCAUUUAGUAGAUUGAUCUCAACUUUGAUAAUAAUAAAUGAAAACAAGUUAUCCAAUGAUAUUUAUAACAUAAUUGGAACCAAGUUAAGCAAUGAUUGUAUCUAAACCAAGAGGAAUUACAUAGAAAAUUUCAAAAUCUCAAUCAACAACUCCAAACAGAGAAUCAAGUAAGAAUUUUCCCAUAUUUCUAUAUUUCCAAAGUGAAUUCUCCAUCUUCCUUGCUACAUUAUUCUCCAUAUCAAAACUCUAACUCAUUAAUGGUAAAAGAAAUUAUUUUUUUAAAAAAAAUUCUUUUUGUCACUUUGUUUGGUUGCAAAGAAAAUAAGAAAAUUCUAGAAUUCGAGAGAAAUAUUUGAUAUUCAAGAGAAAAACCAAAUCUUCCUUUUAAAUUAAUCAUGAUCUCAAUCCCUCUUCGUAUGUUGUUGUUCUUUGUAUUUAUAAUUGUUAUAGUAUGUGACUCAUAUUUGAGCGAAAAGACAUAUAGAGGAAAAUGGGCAAAAUGUUGGAGCGAAGCGAAAUGAGAGCGUAGCGAGGGCAUUUGUCAUUCAGGCUUGUACUUCUUUUGUUAUGGGACGAAUGAUAGGUUGGGGGGUGUGGGGGGCAACGCUUCCCACGAUACGGUUCAAGGGUAUUUUUGGAAUUUCAUUCCUAGGAGUUAGUAUAAAUACCCUUUUAUGUAACCCUAAUUUGAAAUAGUGAAUAUCCUCUUCCUAUGGACACAGGCAAUUAACAGAACCACGUUAAAUCUCCGUGUUCUUCUUUCUCGUUUUUCUAUUUUUUUCGUCAUUAAUCAUUGCAUGGAUUCCAACAAUAACUAACCUAUAUAUAGACAUCAAAAUGGAUACGUUGCAAUCCCUUACUAGCCUUAGCAACCUGUUAUCAAGCUUACAAGCAGCAAAAUGAGAAAUAGUCACUUAACAAAAAUAUAGUCAACAAAUUACACAAUUCCCCAUUUCGAUUUUUGCAGUACCAGGAAUUGAAAUUUCAAUUUACUACCUCUACAUAAAAGUAGCUAUUGGGUUCACUUUAUAGAGCCAUUUCGAUUCCACAUGCCUAAAAGUGAAAGCUUUGAUUUUGUCUAUAGCCAAAUCGAUUUAUAAUAUCCUCCACACUCUCUCAACAUAGAAAUUGAAAUGUGAGAGGGAAAUCAUUUAGAAAAUCAAAAUAGAUAUUUGAAGUGAAAAUCCAAAUGUUUUUGAAAAUAGAUUUGUAAAUUGAAGUCAAAAUUGAAAUGUUUUCUUAUUGCAAAUGCUUCCAAACAUUCCAAAAAUUGUUUCAUCUUUCAUCCAUACACUGUCAUCCCAUGCACUCACUCUUUCACUUUCUUUUUACCUCUUUCAUUCAUUCCCUACUUAUAUUCUUACACAUUUCCCUUCUCUUUUAGGUGAUCUCUAAUCAUCAAACAUGUCCUUUUUACUUCCCAUCAACCUUGCACAUAGUUUCCUUGCAAAACUUUUCAAAAGACUAUUAUUUCCUUUUUUCUUUUUUUUUUUUCUUUGUUGUAUUUUACUCCUCAAAAACAUAUAUCAGCUCCAAUUAGGACUUAGUUCACAUUCAAGGUAAUAAAAAAAUAACUAAUUAAAUCAUAAUAAAAGUCAUAUUUUAAGUACAAAGAUCAAUAAUUUUUGAGUCUUAAGUAGCACGCUUUGUGGAUUUCUAUUUUGAUGAAAUAAUUUUUGCCCCUUUGUAGGAGAGGAUAAGUUGAUUCUAGACAAAUAACAAAAAAUUUCUUAAAAUGAAUCAAAUUUAACUCAUUUGAAUUCUUAUUUUAAUUAAUGUGAACUAAAAGUUCAAAUGAUCAUUCAUUUUCAAAGGCUUGGACAUUAAUUACUAGAGAUAUUCAUUAAUGUGAAGAAAGUCACAAAGUCAUGUGCCUUAGUUGUAAAUAUUUGAACAUGGAUUGAUGUACAUAUAACUAUGUCAUAGCAAAUUAAUCUAAGAUAUGCCAGCAUAAUAUAUUUGUUAGAUUAAAAGACACAAUUCAUAAGAAGAGGAAAAUACAAGAAAAAAUAGAUAGAAAAAUUUUAUAUUUUAUGGAGACAAAAGCGCUAGUAAUCCCAACUUGAUAAACAAAGAGCCCUUGCUAAGGUGCAAAUUGAAAAGCUUACACCUUAAGAAGUACAAAUUAAGCAAAUAAGCCUCAAAGAGGAAAGAUUUAUUAACGAGCCUUAUAGUUUUUAAAAAUAAUUUAAAACUUAAAAUUAGUGAUUUAGUUAAUACUAUAAAAGUUAUUAACAAAAAUUGCUUCAAAACCAGGCAUAGUUUUUGCAAAUUUUUUCACUUGAUAAAUAGAUCCUAAAUUAAAUAAGACUUAAUAUAUUAGAUUCGUUAGCAAAUUUAUUAAUCUUAAAAAAUAAUUUCAUACUACAAAAGUAUAAUUACCAUUGAAAAUUUACAAAUUAAAAUUGGUCCAAAAUAACUUUGUUGUUACUCUUUUACAUAUCUAUAUUUUUAUAGGUUUUCUUACUAGAAAAAUGAGAUUCGAAAUUAAGUUAAACUUAAUUAUUACUAAGUUAAAUAAUUUUUAAAAAUAAUUUGGAACUAAAAAAUACAUCCAAUCACUAUAAUAAAUAAUAGACCAAAACAUGUACAUAAUAACUUAUGACUUUAUUUUAUGAAGAUGUUAAUAUUCAUAUUUUUAUAAUAUAUAUUAAAAUAAUAUCAUUUUUUUUAUUAAAUAUAUAAAUUAUGAUUUUAUUAUAAUAUUAGUAUUUAUAUUUUACGACAAACUAUUUAUUUUCUAAUUUAUGCAUAAUUACAAAACUAUUUUAUUUUUAAUAAGACUUGAUUUAAUAUUGUAUUUAUUGAAUUUACAAAUUAUUUAUAAAAUCAAAAUAGAAAAAUUAUCUAAAUGAGUUUUUUGCUCUUUGUUUUUUGUUUUCUGAGAAGUGAUUUUAAAAACAGUUGAUUUUCUUGCUACUAAAAAAAAAAAGUAUCAGAAAACAUUUGCAAAGCAUACCCUGAACUUCUUGGAAGCUCUAACUCUUAUUCUCUACUUAACUUGUAACCUUGAAUGAGUUAUAUUACGUUUUCUUCUAAUGUCAUUGCUUCUCAUAUGAAUUGCUCCUCUUUAGAGUUGGGGAUAUCCAAUCAUUGUAAUCAUCCAUUUGGCAAGCCAGUCACGGUGAGCAUCUUUUGAAUCAAUCUAAAAUUUGAUUAUUAAAUCCGACAAAUAAAUAUGUUUUAAGACCAUGAUUAAUAUAAAAGUGGAAUUAUUACAAGCAAUAAUUGAUAGCUAGACAUGUUCAUAAAGGACCCUUGAUUUGGAUAUAUCCACUUAUCCUUAAAAUAAGUCAUCUAUAAUUGACCUCCAUUGUUGAUCAGAUUGAGAGUAUCCUUCCAUUCUAUGUCAUACUAUUUUUUAGGCAGGAAUACAGCAUUAAGAAAAUAUUUUUCCACAACUUUUUAGGCAGGAAUACGUAAUCCUGUUUCCAAACUACCUGUAUAGCGUUUAAAUUUGUUUUAUGAGACAUCAUCUACAUCUCUUUCGAAGUAACAUGGCUCGACUAAAGAAAUCUGCAAAUCUCAUUGCCUUAUUCCAGUCUUUGAACCGUUCUACUUCUCCAAUGAUGUCAUGAGAUUUAGAAGAGAUUUCGUUUACUGAAGGUAUCAAUCACAUGGGUUCAGGGGAUAACCCAAUUCCCAAAAAAUGAAACCAUUGGUAAAGACAAAAUAGGAUGGGGGGGUGGGGGUGGGGGUGGUUGGGUGGGGCAUGAGGAAAAAUCAUAGUUGGGUGGCUGAUCAUCUGCUGCAUUAUUGAAGGGUCGACCUCAAUGAUUAUUACCUUAUCGUUUUUAGUGUGACCUAUUGUGGGUGAGCGUACCAUUUUUGGAAAUUUUAUAGCUUCACAGUCCAAGGCCGAUUGCUAUAUGAAUAGAUCAAGUCUCAAGGUAGGAUUACGCAAAAAAACAACAAUCUCAAGAUAUCACAGCGAGAUACAUGGCUUUGGCAGUUGGUGAGACAUCGACUGAGCUACUUCAUGCUCAUGCUCAUGUCUGGAAUCAUAUAUUCAACUUCAUAAACUCCAUGUCACUGAAAUGUGCUAUUGAACUAGGCAUCCCAGACAUCAUCCACAACCAUGGGAAGCCCAUGACUCUUUCUGAGCUGGUUGCUGAGCUCCCAGUCAACCCAGAGAAGACGAAAUGCGUGUACCGUCUCAUGCGCCUUCUUGUUCAGUCUGGCUUCUUUACCAGGAAAAGAGUCCAAGAAAGCGGGCAAGAAGAGGGGUAUGUGCUUACACAUGCCUCUAGGCUCCUCCUAAAGGACGACCCCUUGAGUGCAAGGCCCUUCUUGCUUGCCAUGCUCGACCCAGUUUUAAUUACACCAUGGCAAUAUGUGAGUGCUUGGUUUCAAAAUGAUGAUCCCACUCCAUUCGACACUGCUCAUGGGCGGACAUUUUGGGAUUAUGCUGGCCAUGAACCCAAGCUCAACAAUUUCUUCAAUGAAGCCAUGGCUAGUGAUGCUCGCUUAGUAACCAGCGUGCUGAUUAAGGACUGCAAGGGCAUAUUUGUGGGGUUGAAUUCAUUAGUUGAUGUAGGGGGUGGCACAGGGACAGUGGCUAGGGCCAUUGCCAAUGCUUUCCCACACUUGAACUGCACCGUGUUAGAUCUCCCCCAUGUGGUUGCUGGCUUGGAAGGGAGUAAGAACUUGAACUACCUUGCAGGGGAUAUGUUUGAAGCAAUUCCUCCUGCAGAUGCUAUUUUACUCAAGGUAUACUGACUUAACCUUUUUGCUAAGAAAGACGAAAAAUAGGAAAGAAGAAAUGUUAAAGAAAUAAUUUAUAUAUAGUUAGUUAUAUAUAGGUUUAUUUUGUCACAUUAUACUCUAUAUUAUCACUGAGAAAGAAACAUAAAAACAAUUAUAAUUGGUCAACAUUGGACAGUAUUACAUACAUAUGAUAAUAUUUAUGGGAUUGUUACAUAAAUUUAGGAAAUUGAAACUUCUAACUGUCUCUUAUGUUGUCGCAAACAACAAGCAGUGGAUAUUGCAUGACUGGAACCAUGACGAAUGUGUGAAGAUACUCAAGCGAUGCAGAGAUGCGAUUCCCAGCAAGGAAAAAGGAGGAAAGGUGAUAAUCAUAGACAUGAUGAUGGAGAACCAGAAAGCAGAUGAUGAGUCCAUCGAAACACAACUCUUUUGGGAUAUGCUGAUGAUGAUUGUGCUAACGGGCCAAGAGAGGAACAUUAAAGACUGGGAGAAGCUCUUCUUUGAUGCUGGUUUCAGUGGCUAUAAGAUAACUCCCAUGCUGGGUUUAAGGUCUCUCAUCGAGGUUUACCCAUGAUCAAUAUAUAUGUUGGUAGUAGUAUGUGCAAAUAUAUUUCCACUAAAUAAACUCUGGUAAGAAUGUUGUAGACCGUAUCAAGUUUGUGUGUGCUUGAAGGAAUAAUGAUCUCUCUCUGAGGCUAUGAAUAAUCUCUGUUAUGUAAUUUGAUAUUUAAGUUCUAUAAUAAAGAAGUAUUAUUUGUUGUCAUAUUGUUUUAUUUUGUAUUAGCUGGUUGUGGAAGUUUGGCAAAUUUCAGCUGCAGAAAAAAACCGUACCAUAUUUGGCUGGCAAGAAUUGGUAUAUAAGUUGCCAUUUGUUUUGAAUCAGACAACUGUGGUCCAACAUAUCAACUAAUGAAUCGCUGAACUUUAUAUAUGUUGUAUAUUUUGUAAACAAGGGUUUAAUGAUUUGUUAAGGACCAAAUUUUACU
rnacentral:lncRNA from 1 species